rnacentral:rRNA from 1 species
UACGGGGGGGGCAAGCGUUGUUCGGAAUUACUGGGCGUAAAGGGUUCGUAGGUGGCCAACUAAGUCAGACGUGAAAUCCCUCGGCUCAACCGAGGAACUGCGUCUGAUACUGGAAGGCUUGAAUCCGGGAGAGGGAUGUGGAAUUCCAGGUGUAGCGGUGAAAUGCGUAGAUAUCUGGAGGAACACCGGUGGCGAAGGCGGCAUCCUGGACCGGUAUUGACGCUGAGGCGCGAAAGCUAGGGGAGCAAACGGG